ensembl:misc_RNA Metazoa_SRP Metazoan signal recognition particle RNA
GCUGGGCGUGGUGGUGCGCGCCUGUAAUCCCAGCUAUUUGGGAGGCUGAGGCGGGAGAAUUGCUUGAACCCGGGAGCGGAGGUUGCAGUGAGCCGAGAUCAUGCCAUUGCACUCCAGCCUGGGUGACAGAGUGAGACUCUGUCUCAA